rnacentral:rRNA from 1 species
UAGGGAAUCUUCCGCAAUGGGCGAAAGCCUGACGGAGCAACGCCGCGUGAGUGAUGAAGGUCUUCGGAUCGUAAAACUCUGUUAUUAGGGAAGAACAAAUGUGUAAGUAACUAUGCACGUCUUGACGGUACCUAAUCAGAAAGCCACGGCUAACUACGUGCCAGCAGCCGCGGUAAUACGUAGGUGGCAAGCGUUAUCCGGAAUUAUUGGGCGUAAAGCGCGCGUAGGCGGUUUUUUAAGUCUGAUGUGAAAGCCCACGGCUCAACCGUGGAGGGUCAUUGGAAACUGGAAAACUUGAGUGCAGAAGAGGAAAGUGGAAUUCCAUGUGUAGCGGUGAAAUGCGAAGAGAUAUGGAGAAACACCAGUGGCGAAGGCGACUUUCUGGUCUGUAACUGACGCUGAUGUGCGAAAGCGUGGGGAUCAAACAGG